ACCCCCGGCUGCAGGUUACGUUAAACCGUGGGGCCACCGGGGCUGCCCCGCCCCUACUUUAACCGUUGUGUACAGUUCAGUGGUAUAACGACAUUCAUAGUGUUAUGCAACCAUCACUACUAUUUACAAAACUGUUUCAUCAUCUCAAACAGAAAUUCUGCAAACAUUAAGCAGUAAUUCCCCAUCCUUCCAUCUCCGCAGCCCCUGGUAACCAACCUUUAAUCUUUCUGUCUCCAUGAAUUUGCCUUUUUCUAUUUCAUGGGACAUGGGGAGACUACAUUUCCCAACCUUUCUAGUAGAUGUGAUCUUAUCAAUGAAAAUGUAGGCAAAAGAAUGUGGCACUUAGAGUCCAAGGUAAUUAAGUGUCAAUGUGAAAGCUUUCCACUCCUCCCCACCCUCACCCCCCGGGAUCAAAGAGCUUUGAGAUGAUGGAGAUGCUGGGUAGAAGCAGCUUGGAUCUGAGUCACUGCUGAAUGAAAAUAACAUACCAAUAUGGCCUGCCCCACACUGGGAUGUGAGUGAGAAAUAAACCUUUGUGUGUUAAGCCACUAA